CAGUAGCCGCGGGAAUACGAAGGGGGCUAGCGUUGCUCGGAAUGACUGGGCGUAAAGGGCGCGUAGGCGGCGGCCAAAGUCAGGCGUGAAAUUCCCGGGCUCAACCUGGGGGCUGCGUUUGAUACUUGGUUGCUUGAGUGGGGAAGAGGGUCGUGGAAUUCCCAGUGUAGAGGUGAAAUUCGUAGAUAUUGGGAAGAACACCGGUGGCGAAGGCGGCGACCUGGUCCUUUACUGACGCUGAGGCGCGAAAGCGUGGGGAGCAAACAGGAUUAGAUACCCGGGUAGUCCCUGUCUCUUAUAC
rnacentral:rRNA from 1 species